rnacentral:rRNA from 1 species
GAUGAACGCUGGCGGCGUGCCUAAUACAUGCAAGUCGAGCGAACAGACGAGGAGCUUGCUCCUUUGACGUUAGCGGCGGACGGGUGAGUAACACGUGGGUAACCUACCUAUAAGACUGGGAUAACUUCGGGAAACCGGAGCUAAUACCGGAUAAUAUUUCGAACCGCAUGGUUCGAUAGUGAAAGAUGGCUUUGCUAUCACUUAUAGAUGGACCUGCGCCGUAUUAGCUAGUUGGUAAGGUAACGGCUUACCAAGGCAACGAUACGUAGCCGACCUGAGAGGGUGAUCGGCCACACUGGAACUGAGACACGGUCCAGACUCCUACGGGAGGCAGCAGUAGGGAAUCUUCCGCAAUGGGCGAAAGCCUGACGGAGCAACGCCGCGUGAGUGAUGAAGGUCUUCGGAUCGUAAAACUCUGUUAUUAGGGAAGAACAAACGUGUAAGUAACUGUGCACGUCUUGACGGGACCUAAUCAGAAAACCACGGCUAACUACGU